AAACAAAAAAGAGGGAAAAAGAGAUGAGAUAUGUGGAGACUAGUCUAGGAAUUUUAAUCUCUUUGACCCCUUUUGGUUGAAUCAAUUUUUGAAAAACCCUCACUUAUUCUCACUACCCCCUCUCCUUCCUAACCUAUUUGAAAUACAAUUUUACCUUUCUCCUUUACUUUUUUUAAUUUUCUAUUUAAUUUUUGCUACCAAAUAAUUUAUUAAAAUCAACCAAUCAUAUGCAUUCUCUCUCUUAUCUCAUUAAUCACUUAAACCUACAAAAAACGCUGGACAACUGAAACCAAUAAGCACAACUAUGUUGAUGGACUUCUACGAAAACAUAUAAUUACAUAUCGUUUUUUGUUUCUCUUUGAUUUUCAAGUUAUAAUCAAAAAUACUUCAGUCAUACGCAUUGCUUAUAAUGGAUACUAUUAAUUUUUUUUGUUGUAUUUAUACAAAUUAAUAUGUUUUGUAUUGGUACAACUAAGUACAACCCGCACAACUAAGGUCUAUUCACUUGGCUAGUUUUCAGAAUAUUAUAAAA
rnacentral:sRNA from 1 species